AUUUAUAGUUUUUUUUUAUUUUAGUUUAGUUAUUUUGGGGUUCUGCACGUCCAUGUUUCAUGUUGGAUCGUUGUUGUUUUUUGGUAAAUAUUAGAUUUUUGUGUCUGUUGUUUAAGAGUCAAACCAUUUCCAGCUCUGUCUUCCUCGUGUCUCACUGCUGCUGUCUGUGUCUGACAGAUGUUCCACAGUCACAGCUGCCUGUUAUCAUUCCCUUCAUCCUCAUCCUCCUCAUCCUCAUCAUCAUCAUCAUCAUCAUCAUCAUCAUCGGGGGGGUUUUCUGUAGGAAACGCUGCUGGAAGAGAAGAAAUCAAACCCAGACUCACACAGAAGAAGAAUCAUCCUCCAUGACACCAUGAAGGAGACUGAGAGACAUCUUUUCUACUUUUAACAUGAAUUUUUAACUUGAAUUUUAUACUGUAAUAAAAGUGGAUGAAAAGAUCU